rnacentral:rRNA from 1 species
UGGCUGUUCUCAGCUCGUGUCGUGAGAUGUUGGGUUAAGUCCCGCAACGAGCGCAACCCUUGACUUUAGUUGCCAGCAUUGAGUUGGGCACUCUAAGGUGACUGCCGAUGACAAAUCGGAGGAAGGUGGGGAUGACGUCAAAUCAUCAUGCCCCUUAUGACCUGGGCUACACACGUGCUACAAUGGGCGGUACAAAGGGUUGCAAACCCGCGAGGGGGAGCCAAUCCCAAAAAGCCGCUCUCAGUUCGGAUUGCAGGCUGCAACUCGCCUGCAUGAAGCCGGAAUCGCUAGUAAUCGCGA